rnacentral:tRNA from 7 species
GGGGGUGUAGCUCAGCGGGAGAGCACUUCGUUGACAUCGAAGGGGUCACAGGUUCAAUCCCUGUCACUCCCACCA